rnacentral:rRNA from 1 species
CCUACGGGCGACAGCAGUGAGGAAUAUUGGUCAAUGGACGGAAUUCUGCACCAGCCAUGCCGCGUGCAGGAAGACGGCUCUAUGAGUUGUAAACUGCUUUUGUACAAGGGUAAACCUGAAUACGUGUAUUCAGCUGAAAGUACUGUACGAAUAAGGAUCGGCUAACUCCGUGCCAGCAGCCGCGGUCAUACGGAGGAUCCAAGCGUUAUCCGGAUUUAUUGGGUUUACAGUGUGCGUAGGCGGAUUGAUAAGUUAGAGGUGAAAUGUCCGAGCUUAACUCGGGAACUGCCUCUAAUACUGUUGAGCUAGAGAGUAGAUGCGGUAGGCGGAAUGUAUGGUGUAGCGGUGAAAUGCUUAGAGAUCAUACAGAACACCGAUUGCGAAGGCAGCUUACCAAUCUAUAUCUGACGUUGAGGCACGAAAGCGUGGGGAGCAAACAGGAUUAGAUACCCGAGUAGUC